rnacentral:rRNA from 1 species
GCGAGCGGGGAAUAACAUCUCCACUCAACCUUCCCAAGCCAACCCAGUUUUGAAGGGCAAAAAAAAAAGAGAAGGAAAAUCUCAACCCCAUCGUCUUCUCCACAUCGCCUCGUCGCCGCUGCCGCCCCCCGGUUCGACGAUGCCGUCGCCUGACGCGGCAACGGGCGAAGCGUCCACCCCCCUCAGCACACGCGUCCGCGCCUUCAAGAUACACCCCAAUGUCGUCCGUAACUUUCUCGACCACCACAUCCGCGUCAAGGACCAGGCCGCGCGCUGCGGGGGCAGCUCCUUCUCGUCGAAGUCGAAGGAUGCUGCGAGGAUGUUUGGCUGCGUCAUCGGGAUGAAGAGCGGGCAGACAGUUGAAAUCUUGGACAGCCUGGACCUCCUGCUCGACCCCGUCUCCGGAACCCUCUGCCGCGCCUUGCUGGAGAAGAAGGAGCACUACGAGAAGUUUUUCCCUGGCUCGGUCGUUCUGGGGUGGUAUUCUUCUCGGACUAUGGCAGCUGAGCAGGAUACCGACAUGCAAAUCCACAAAGCCUUGAUGGAUGCCGAGGGAAGAGCUUUCUAUAUUGUACUAAAUCCUGCAAUCUACCUCUCCCAGAUGGAUCUCUGUGUUACUAUUUAUGAUUGUGUGUUGGGCGCUACCGAUGGGAGUCCUCGGCUCAACCUUGUAAAAUUUGACUGUACAACUGAGAUUUUAGAGGCAGAUAGGAUAUCUUCAGACUGUAGCACUGGUUUCAAACGGUGUUUCCUCUGCCCAAACCGAGCCGUCUGCGAUGUGAACCUACUGCCUCUUGAAAAAAUAGCUGUUGCACAACGUCCGCAUCAAGCAUUUAGGACAAUGCUGCUUGAAACACCGUCAGGCUUCGCUAUGUUCAGUGUUUCUGCGCGUCUUCUUAAGUAUCCUGAGGAGAUAUGGUCAUGGUUUACUCGUCUAAGUGAUGCACAUGAUGCCAUAUCUACCCUCGGUUUCAUUAAGGUUCAUGACAAAUCUGUUGCCAGGGAUAGUGAUGUUGGUCCUGGCAAGGACCUGGAAAGAUUUAUCCUAAAAUUCACCACUACACAUGCGUUGAUUGUUCCAGAUGCAGAUCUUAAGUUUGUUAUUGAGAAAAAACUUAAAGUCAUUUGUUGGCUUGAUGCACAUAUUGUUGAUGAGCUGACGUGGGGUCUAAAGUAUGUCCUAGAUAAAUUUUUACCUGAAGAAAAGGAUAGUCCAUGUCAUCUCCUACUCAGCAAGGAAUUGGAGAAGAAGAUCAAAUCAUAUGGAUUCAGUGUCUCGCCACAAGUGAUUGACAGAGAGUUUAUAACCACUGUUGGUUACUUGUACGAACUAGAACUUACUUCAGAGAGUCUCUCUGUGUUCUUGCACCAUAAAUUUGAUGACUGCUUUUAUGGGCGUCGCCUGUCUGACCUAGAGUUUGCAAAAGCCAUUUCAGAUAGACUCAAAUCCUCCGAGGAAAUGAUACCAAACUAUGGCGAGUAUAGCAAACAAGACAUAGUGAGGUUCACUGAUUAUGUUUUGGCGGCUCCUGGUUUGAAAAAUGAUGCUAUAUUAUAUCUCAAGAAACUGGAGAGAGCAGCUCGUAAAUAUCGUUUGGCAGUUCCUGAUGAACAGAAAAAGUCCAUGGAGUUCUUGCGAAAAGCUGAAGCAAGGGACAAGGAGUCGAAACUUGUAGUUAACAUUGAGGCUGCAGCUUCAAAAUCAAAGGCUGUGGGAAAAAAUAAGAAGGAUGAUGACAUCGAUGAUUCCAAGCCAGAGACUAGGAAGAGGGGAGUAGCUGGAAGUGUGUUGAAGAUGCCUGCUUCUAAUAAGAAGGCAAAGGUCGCAACACCGUCCUGCCAGAAGACAGGGGGCUGUCCAUGUGGCAGCUCUGCACCCGGCAAAGAAUACAGGUCAUACCCCUCCAACCAGUGAGAAGUCCCACAAGUUCAGUAGCAUGGAAGUCUUGCAGCAAGUAAAAAAAGAGGUUAUUAUCGAGAGGAUUUCAGCAAGAAGUGCAGAUUUAUUACCUUGGUGAAAGGCCUGGAAUCGUUUGGUAUAAAUCUGAGUGAUGCUUCAAUGAAGCUUAGAAAGAAGUUUGCUACUCGAGCCUCGGUUUUCAAGGGCCCAACUGAGAAGGAGCAAAUAGCUGUGAAAGGGGACGUAUCAUGUGAUAUUGUGGAGUUCAUUAGAGAUACAUGGUCUGACGUUCCGAAAUCAGCAAUAUAUCUCCGUCGUGGUGGAAGGAAGUUUGCUACUGCUUGAUUAAGUAUUGUGUACAAGGCUGGUGGAAGGAAGUUUGCUACUGCUUGAUUAAGUGUUGUGUACAAGGCAAUACACCAGCGGAGUUAACUUAAUUAUGAAAAUUGCAUAACUUGGGCAUUGUUUUGCUUCAUGAUCUUCCAAUGUACUCCUACCGGAAGGACCCCAGUACUUCUUUUUAUCGUGUUUUCCCACUGGAUAUUAAGAAUACGUAGAACAAAGGCUGUGCCAUUUCCAUGGUGUAAAUGAGUCAUUAGCAAAUAACAGUAGUGAAAUACUUGUACAAGGUCUAUGUGCAUUGUCCGAAUUCCUCUUAAGCAUCGUUCACAUGAAGAGUGAAAAGGUCUAUGUGUAGAUGUAUAUGCAUGAGAUUCCUGUAUGCA